ACUUCUCCUUUGUUACUGUGCAUGAGUAAAGAGAGAUUGGGUAAAGUCACACGCCUCUGACGUUGCACUAUUUGAACACCAUUUCACAGGUACAGGUCUUCAUUGCUCUCACAGUUAAUUGCAAUGUCAGGGAGUUUUGUUUGUUUUACUGAAGCUUUACAGCCCCCAUGAGGAAAAACUGUGGCUCAACAAUAGCUGAAGAAAAGCCUUCCAUGGUGCUCUGAAGAGGACAGCUUUGGAAAUUCAAAACAACAAGCAACACUUGAGCUUUUUAUUAAGUUUGUCUCUGCAAGCACAGAACUAUGGGACAAGCUAUAGCUGCAGACAGUUAAAUGAACUUCUCCUGUGCAUAACAAAGUUCACCGAAAAGAGCCACAGAAAUAAAUCAACUGAUCAUGAAGCUGAUUCUUCCUUCCCACCUAGAAGCAUCCAGUAUGCCACCCCAAAGCAUGCAGGAUGAAGUACAUGGAAACACGAAGACAAACAUUCUUUUCACCAUAGUAACAUUAAAUAAAAAUGCCUGUUUUCAUCAUUGCUGAAA